rnacentral:rRNA from 1 species
GUACCCCGAGGAAAAGAAAUCAACCGAGAUUCCCCCAGUAGCGGCGAGCGAACGGGGAGCAGCCCAGAGCCUGAAUCAGUGUGUGUGUUAGUGGAAGCGUCUGGAAAGGCGCGCGAUACAGGGUGACAGCCCCGUACACAAAAAUGCACAUGCUGUGAGCUCGAUGAGUAGGGCGGGACACGUGGUAUCCUGUCUGAAUAUGGGGGGACCAUCCUCCAAG